ACUGGUAUUUAAUAUCCAAUAUAUGAUUUAACGGGCACAGUCGUUGUUCUGUAUGUUUUAGUUUUAGUCGUAUAGUGUUUUGCGUGUAUCUUAUUGUUCAUCAAUGUUUGUGUGCAAGAUUAUCCUUCAUUUUCCUUCCUCUUUUUUCUAUUCACUGAGUUAUGACUUAGAUUGCAUACCUUUUAGAUCUUGUUAAUGGUGGCUUUAUACCUCAGUUCUUACACUCACUGAGAUUGGCUCUCUU
rnacentral:lncRNA from 1 species